UGAGUCCAGAGUCCAGGGCAUGCAGCAGUGAGGCGAGAGUCGGGUCCAGGCAGGGAGUAACUGAAUGCACAAGAAACAAGGGUUAAAGAGAUGAAGAAUGACCCAGCUGACACAGACCACCUCACUUCCUGCCCCUUGUGGGUUUCCCGCCAGUCUUGAUUACAUGUUCUGCCCUAAUUACUUGCACCUGUGCCCUAUUGUCUGCAUCCACCUGUGUAUAUAGUCAGCUGCCUUCAGUCACUCUUUGCCCGUUGACCCCUGUGUUUUGGACUUUGCCUCUGCCUAUUCCUGGUGGAUUUGUUUGCUGUCUCCUGACUGCCUGCCUGUGUACUGAAACUGCAUUUUAGAAAGUAAAAGACAGUUCCCUUACCUCC